UACAGAGGUCUCAAGCGUUGUUCGGAUUCAUUGGGCGUAAAGGGUGCGUAGGCGGCGCGGUAAGUCGGGUGUGAAAUCUUGGAGCUUAACUCCGAAACUGCAUUCGAUACUGCCGUGCUUGAGGACUGGAGAGGAGACUGGAAUUUACGGUGUAGCGGUGAAAUGCGUAGAUAUCGUAAGGAAGACCAGUGGCGAAGGCGGGUCUCUGGACAGUUCCUGACGGCUGGAGGCACGAAGGUCAGGGGAGCAAACAGG
rnacentral:rRNA from 1 species